CUUACCUUCAGCCGCAGCAGCAUCGCAUUUGUAAAUCCACAGCCUCUGGUUCGUGGUUUUCUUCUUCUCUCCCUUCACAUUCUUUUCUUCUCAUCUUAAUUUUCAUUAUAUUUGCCUCUAGUUGAGUUGCGAUUGACAACAAUUCUUGCGAACUGUUAUCCAGGCAAGUAAGUAAACAUGGUGCAAUAUAACUUCAAGAAGAUGACUGUUGUACCAAGUGGGAAGGACUUCAUUGACAUUAUCCUAUCUCGCACCCAGAGGCAGACCCCAACUGUAGUCCACAAGGGUUAUGCAAUUUCCGGCCUCCGUUCUUUCUAUAUGCGUAAAGUAAAAUAUACCCAACAGAAUUUUCAUGAGAAGCUCUCCACAAUCAUUGAUGAGUUUCCUAGGCUGGAUGACAUCCACCCUUUCUAUGGCGACCUCCUUCAUGUUCUCUACAACAAAGACCAUUACAAGCUUGCACUUGGCCAAAUCAAUACUGCAAGGAACCUUAUUGGAAAGAUUUCUAAAGAUUAUGUGAAAUUGUUGAAGUAUGGUGAUUCACUUUACCGAUGCAAAUGUCUCAAGGUCGCUGCUCUCGUUGGAAAGAGCUCAUUCAUUAACAAGAUCACUAGGGCUGAUGUGGAUGUCCAGCCCUAUGCUUUUACCACCAAGUCACUCUUUGUGGGACAUACAGAUUAUAAAUACUUGAGGUACCAGGUAAUUGAUACACCAGGGAUUUUGGACCGCCCAUUUGAAGACCGUAACAUUAUUGAGAUGUGCAGCAUCACAGCUUUGGCUCACUUGAGAGCUGCGGUGUUGUUUUUCUUGGACAUCUCGGGGUCUUGUGGGUACACCAUUGCCCAACAGGCAGCUCUUUUUCACAGUAUUAAGUCUCUGUUUAUGAACAAACCAUUGAUUAUAGUCUGCAACAAGACUGAUUUGCAGCCAUUGGAGGGUAUAUCUGAGGAAGACAAAAAGUUGGUCACGGAGAUGAAAGCUGAAGCUAUGAAGACAGUGAUUGGUCAAGGUGGUGAGGCUACCAAUGAUGAGGGGGUACUCUUGACCAUGAGCACUCUGACCGAGGAGGGGGUUAUUGCUGUAAAGAAUGCAGCUUGUGAGAGAUUGUUGAAUCAGAGAGUGGAAUUGAAGAUGAAAUCCAAAAAGAUAAAUGACUGCUUAAAUCUUUUUCAUGUUGCAAUGCCAAAGCCACGUGACAAUAAGGAAAGACCCCCAUGUAUACCUCAGGUAGUUUUAGAAGCAAAGGCUAAGCAAGCAGCAGUGAAAGAAAAGAGAAAUACAGAAAAGGAUUUGGAGAAUGACAAUGGCGGUGCAGGUGUAUACUCUGCCAGUUUGAAGAAAAACUAUAUCUUAGCUAAUGAUGAAUGGAAAGAGGAUGUCAUGCCAGAAAUUCUUGAUGGGCACAACGUAUACGACUUUGUCGAUCCUGAUAUUUUGCAUAGGCUUGCGGAGUUGGAACGAGAAGAAGGAUACCGGCAGGCAGAUGCGGGUGAUGAUAAUUUUGAGAUGGAGGGAUUGGAAUUGACUCCAGAAGAGCAAAAGACAUUGGCAGAGAUAAGGAAAAAGAAAAGCUUGCUCAUUCAACAACAUAGAAUCAAGAAAAGUACAGCAGAGAGUCGGCCAACUGUACCAAGGAAAUUUGACAAGGACAGGGAGUUCACAACAAAGAGAAUGGGGAGGCAGCUAUCAAAGUUGGGUCUUGAUCCCACUAAGGCAAUUAACAGAGCUCGAAGCAGAUCUGUCUCAACUAGGGGCCGGAAGAGGGAGAGAUCACUUGACAGGGAUGAUACUGAUGGUGGUGAUGCUAUGGAUGUGGAUACACCCAACAAGAAGCAACGCAUGUUAUCUAGAUCCCGUUCGAGGUCAAGAUCAAGGCCUCCAACUGAAGUUGUCCCUGGAGAGGGAUUCAAGGACUCUGCUCAAAAGGCUAAGGCACUACAAAAGGCCAAUAAAUCUAAUAAGAUGAGAAACAAGAAUGCUCGUCGUGGAGAGGCAGAUAGGGUCAUUCCCACUUUAAAACCAAAGCACUUGUUCUCUGGAAAACGAUCAAUUGGAAAAACUCAAAGGCGUUAAAAUAUUUGAGAUGCGGAUGUGUGAGAAUAACAUUCUCGUAGCUACCAGAUGGAAGUUUUUGGUCCGUUGGGAAAUGGUAGUGUCAUAUUGAUCAUUAAAAUUAAUCUCCCGUUCUGGGGUGUUGAUUUGACUUCAUACUAUUGAAGGGAGGUAGAUUUGUGCUUUGUUGUAUGCACCAUGGAGUGUACUUGCUGCUGCAAAAGAACUUAGUUCUUUCAUCUCUGGUUUGGCAGGAUAUUGCAGCACGCGGGAUCAUGCAACCAGAGUCUUCACAGUUUCCUUUUUUUUGCAGUUGUGUUUUUAUUUAGGAAAUUUUGGAUCCGAGGCAUGCCUCAGUUACAAUAUUUUGAGUGGAGUUUAAUUUACAGACUAAUUUUUGUCUUUACCCUUUGCUUUUGUAAUGUUGUCGUUUGACAAUAUGUGAAACUUGGCCAAGUUAAAUUACUAUUUUGUUUGUUUUAUUGAAGUUCAAGUAUAGUUUAAGAUA